rnacentral:rRNA from 1 species
UACGUAGGUGGCAAGCGUUUGUCCGGAAUUAUUGGGCGUAAAGCGCGCGCAGGUGGUUCCUUAAGUCUGAUGUGAAAGCCCACGGCUCAACCGUGGAGGGUCAUUGGAAACUGGGGAACUUGAGUGCAGAAGAGGAAAGUGGAAUUCCAAGUGUAGCGGUGAAAUGCGUAGAGAUUUGGAGGAACACCAGUGGCGAAGGCGACUUUCUGGUCUGUAACUGACACUGAGGCGCGAAAGCGUGGGGGAGCAACAGGAGU